rnacentral:lncRNA from 1 species
AAUCCCAGCUAUAGCUGGGUAGUGAUAGAACCUUUAGUGUAUGUGAGUGGGUGUGUGUGUUGUGUAACCUAGGAUUGGGGGUUGUCCAAUCCACCGAUCAAAAAAAAGACCAAAAAAAAAAAAGCGAACUCAAUCAAAACCAAAGUCAUCUAAGGCCACACCGAUAAAAAAAAAAAUAAAAAUGGGUAUUAUUUUAAUAUGGGACAAACUAUUUAAACAAAGUUAAUAGAGA